GUAGUCUGNAACCCGACUACAUGAAGCUGGAAUCGCUAGUAAUCGCGAAUCAGAAUGUCGCGGUGAAUACGUUCCCGGGUCUUGUACACACCGCCCGUCACACCAUGGGAGUCGGAAAUGCCCGAAGUCAGUGACCUAACCGAAAGGGAGGAGCUGCCGAAGGUGGAGCCGGUAACUGGGGUGAAGUCGUAACAAGGUAGC
rnacentral:rRNA from 1 species